rnacentral:rRNA from 1 species
AGCUCCAAUAGCGUAUAUUAAAGUUGUUGCGGUUAAAAAGCUCGUAGUUGGAUCUCAGGAAGGUGCUGGCGGUGGGCCCAAGAGGUCUUACUGCGUUCACCUUUCACCGACCGCUGGUCGCGAGUGCUCUUUGUUGAGUGUUCGUCGACUGCGGCCACGUUUACUUUGAAAAAAUUAGAGUGUUCAAGGCAGGCGUUUUCUCGCCCGCAUACCCCAGCAUGGAAUAAUGGAAUAGGAGGCUGGUUCUAUUUUGUUGGUUUUCGGAAUCUAGCCUAAUGGUUAAGAGGGACGGCCGGGGGCAUUCGUAUUGCUGCGUUAGAGGUGAAAUUCUUAGAUCGCAGCAAGACGAACAAGUGCGAAAGCAUUUGCCAAGAAUGUUUUCAUUAAUCAAGAACGAAAG